UUGGACCGAUUAAAUUGAUAGGUAGCAUUUCGUAACGUUUUGAAAUUCGGUAAAUAAAACGUUUUAAGACAUGAUUAAGAAUCUCGUGUACAUGAGUUGAGUGAAAAUAGAUUGUAGGUUAAGAAGUACGUUUGCUAAAACAAUGUAUUUUGAAAUUGGUAUAAGUGGGCAAUUUGAAUAAUGAUAAGUGAUUUAGAUAUAAAACAUGAUCGGAUUUACAUAAUAAAAUAUUUUGAAGGAAAGUUUUGAUAACGAUCACCUAGGUAAGGGAAUCACCCCUAACUCAUUGGUGAGGUCGUUUUAAGGGAAGAGGGAGUGGGGUUAAUCGUCAAGGUAAGGAAAUCACUCCUAUCUCGAUGAUAUGUCUCCCUUUGUCGUUACAAGGAAUAUGAAUUUUAAAUCAUAUGAAAUCAUGCAUAUGUAUAAAUGUAUGAAAAAGAUUUGGUAUGUUGUGUGUGUGUAAGGAAAAUAUCGAAAGUAAAUUUGAAUUUGAAAGAUUGUUUCGUAUAAGAUAAAUAAUAGAAACACAUGUUUGAUUAAAAUUUGGAUGGUUCCAAAAACGGAACUUUGACUAACCAAAGUGGUCGAAAAGUCUUUUGAAUUUGAGAAGCAUGCUUUGGCCUAAUAGGUGGAAUACUCUCGCCGACAAGUCGGUUAACGGUAUUUACCCUUCCGGUUACUACAUGCCCCAAAUCAAUCGAAAUUUCGAGACUUGGCGGGAUUUAUAAAAAAAAUCGAGGAGUGGAACUAGUCGACAAGGUGCGGGUUUCACCCCUAACUUGACGAUUUCGUAUCCUAAGUGUGGUUGGUACUCGUCGGGUCAAAAUUUAAUUUCGACACGUUGACGAGGGUCCACUAGAAUUUGAAAUUUGAAAUUUACCAUUAAGAUGUAGAUUUCACUCCUAGCUUAAUGCCGAUAUUUCGUGUAAAAAGAAUAGGUAGAUUGAGAGUCGUUCACCAAAUUGUGGGUUUCACGCCUAUUUUGGUGAAUUCUCGAGUAAAAUGUAUGAGGAAAAGCGUAUGUUGAAUAUUAACAAACAAGUAUAAAUAUGUCAAGAAU
rnacentral:lncRNA from 1 species